UUCUACCUUCACAUUUAAUAAAUUGAGUUGACUGAUCAUCUGAGUUUGUUCUGGUAGAGUAGGCAGCAAGACUCAACCCGUUUAGAUGAAGUGACACUAUUUCUUCUUCUUUUAACCAAUGGUCUGUGGGAUACAGAAUCUGGAAUUCCUUGUCUACAAUAAACAUUUCAAGCUCAUUAAUUUUUUUUAUCAGAAAUUGUACAUUACUUAGUGGAUGUUGUGGGGUUGGUUUCGGAAAUAUUGUUAGGUUUUAAACAUGGUUGACAGUAUUUCCCUCUAUAGUAAUAGUUAUCCUCUUUAUUUUUCGCACUUACUUUUUAAAAAUUCCGAAGCAUUUUCAAAGAAAUAGAAAAGCCAUCCUUUGUGCUGUUUUUAAAGAGUCUAAUCGUGUUUUACUCAUUUUAAUGGUUUAGGCGUGUUGUACUUUUUAAAAUUUUUAAAAUUGUACUAAAAUGGCUUUAUGCGUAGCCAGAAUUUUUGACAUACUUUUAUUUACGACUAAAUUGUGUUAAUUAUAAAAAGUUGAUUUUUUUCUAUAUUAAACUAAUUAAAAAUUUUAAAAUGUUUAUAGUAGUGCCUAUUUACUUGAAAUGUACAUCGAAUAUCCACAGGUCAGUUUUAGUAAAAUUUAAAUAAUCCCAGUUUGUCAUUAUCCUUUACUCUCAGUUAGUAAAAGAUUUAUUUUAAAAAUUGUAUUAAAAAUACUUAUUUGAAUAACGCAAAUGUACAAUUUUUUACCUGUUUUCGUUUUUGUCUUAUAGUAUAUAAAACGGCAUAAUACAUCUAAAAAUACAUUUAAAGAUAAGUAAUUUAAAUUUUUUCAGCGGCUUAUAUUACAGUAAUGGCUUGAUAAUACAAACAUUAGUCACAAUUUUCUUUUUCAAAUGACGCAAAACGCGUUAAAAACCAAACGGAAAUCACUUAAAACAUUAGUUAAGCCGAUUGAUUAGUGUGUUUAAUUACCAUCAAAAAAAAAUCUUUAUCACAUCUGGUUUAUUAUAUAAACCGCAUUAAAUAGAAUAUCCAAACCAGUAGCACCAUUGAACCGAAAACUCUUUUUUGAUCCAACUGUCAAGAUGUUAGCACUAUAUUUCUUAUUGAUCAUGUUAUCCACAACAUGGGGCCAGGAGUCUUCAACAACUGAACCGAAUAAUGGCACCGCAUUUACCCCCAUAUCCCCAAUUAUUUGCCCAAUAAUUUGCCGUUUUACGGUGUGCCCCAGGAACGUACCUAAAUGUAACCCAGGAUCUGUUCUGGGGAGUGGCUCUUUUUGUAAUUGUUGCAAUAACGAAUGUGUCAUACCUAGAGGGGGCAAAUGCCCAUUGGAUAACUAUAGAUGUGCCUACCCCUAUGUGUGCCUUAAUAAUAAAUGUACUACGUUAUUUUAGCUGGAUGGUACCAUGCCCCUUUAAAGAUGUUUAUAAAAGGAAUACGUAUUAACAUAUCAUAAAAUAAAAGUAUUCAUUUAAA